AUUACAAGACAUGUAUUACAAUAUAAUUAGGUUAACGAAUAAAUAUAUCAAGUGCUAUCAGCUGGUUCUUCCUUUGAAAGUGAACAACAGCUCACCACGUGGAAUUUCUUGCUUUCUUCGUAUGUCAAACACCUAAAAGCCAGUUUCCUGUCGAAUGUACUCCAGGAAGGCAUUUUUCAAAACAGAACCCGUUUACGAAGUUCUCGCUUGAG